rnacentral:rRNA from 1 species
AAUAACGUCGAGAAAUCGGCGCUAAUACCUCAUAAUGCAGCGGAUCCGCAUGGAUAUGUUGUUAAGGUUUACCGCCUUGGGAUAGGCUUGCGUCUGAUUAGCUAGUGGUGUGGUAACGGCACACCAAGGCUACGAUCAGUAACUGGUCUGAGAGGAUGAUCAGUCACACUGGAACUGAGACACGGUCCAGACUCCUACGGGAGGCAGCAGUGAGGAAUAUUGGGCAAUGCUCGAAAGAGUGACCCAGCAACGCCGCGUGGAGGAUGAAGGUAUUCUAUAUCGUAAACUCCUGUGAGAGCAGACGAAAGACAGAUUAUUAAUCUGGAUGACUGUAUGCUCAGAGGAAGCCCCGGCUAACUACGUG